rnacentral:lncRNA from 10 species
UCACUGAAUAUUUACCUAGAUAUCAUUCCUUAAAGAUUAUGUAAAUUUUGAUAAUUUAUAUUAGAAUCAGAAGUAAGCAUAUUUUAAUUUCUUAUCCCUAGGGAAGUGAGUUUAACAAUUCUGAAGAAGUAUCAUUUGCAAGCGUCUGGGGAAAAAAUGAUCAGGAUUUGAAGAAAGAACAAAACGCACAAAGUAACAAUAAAAAAAAUCAAUGAAAGACAAAGCAACAGAAGAACAGAGUAAUA